UGACGAUCAGAGCUAAUUGGAGUAUUUCUUGAGGAAUAUUGAUAGCAAGCUCAUGAAAUCUUUGAUUAGGUCUGGUUGUUG
rfam:Anopheles stephensi strain SDA-500 unplaced genomic scaffold supercont1.134, whole genome shotgun sequence.